rnacentral:tRNA from 1 species
AAGUGGAUAAUAUAAUGGUAUUAUACCUGUUUUGGGAAUAGGAAAUGUGAGUUCGAUUCUCACUCCAUAGU